AUUUAAUAUUAAUUAAUUGUGGUUGUUCAUAACAUUUAUUGCUCCUCGUUUAUUGUUGCUAUAGAAAUACAGUUUAUUCACUUCUAUUUAUAUUUGAGUGACAUUACACAAUUUAUACCUUAAAGCAAAUUGGAAAUGGUGAAAGAUUCAUAUAAUUAAAGCAAUGAAGGGUAAUAAGCAACAUAAUGAUUCGUUUUUCCAAAUCAACUAUAGAAAGAUUACACCAUGGACAAGUACAAAUUACUUUACAGAAAUGUUUAGUAAUGCCAAAUUGGCAGCUGAUGAAAUCAUAAUUAGUCGCACUAAUUAUGUAUCCGACAUAAAAUCUGUAGCCGUCGACCCCGAAAAUAUUCUGUUAGUGAAUGAUGAUAAAGGCUUAUUUCAAAGGAAUAAUUCACUUGAAAAUAUAAAGAAAAUUUUGGACAAAAUGUCAGAAUUAAAAGAGACAUUAUGCUGUCUAACUACCACAAAGGUGAAACGUAAACAGAGUGUACAAUUAACAACUGUUGAUAAAAAAAAUAAUAAGCUAUUCAGUCUCUUCAAAAAUAUACUGAACAAUGUAAUUUUUAGGAUUGUAAUAUUGCUUGUUUUUGAUUUUAUUAUUAAUACAGAUAAGUAUGGGUCUUCAAAUUUAUUGUACUAAUAUAUUGUGAUGGAUUAUUAAAAUUUGUAAUUAAAAUUAAAUACAACAUUAUAUACCAAAUAAAGCUUGAA